GAUAAAAGAAGAAGAAGUGAAGAAAAAGAAGAAGAAGAAGAUGAAAAAGAAAUAAGAGAAAAUAAGGGGUAAACAAAAGAGAGAAGGUUAGAGAAAGAUCUUGGCACGAACGGUAGGGAUCAGAGGGAAAUGAGAAAAAAGAAUUUUACGAAUGUGUACCGUGCGAUGCAAUGAAGUCUCCAUCGGUAUUCGAGGGUGAGUAAAAGAGGGUGAGACCCUACGAGAAAGAUCUGCGUCUCCAACGGUGCAGUUUAUGUGGACACUGAUUUGAAGCGAACGCUAGAAAAUUUGACAUUCCCGCCAGCUUUUCGGGCCACUGUUGGAUUACGGUAGCGCACACUUACGUAAAGGCCGUCCCCAAGGAAUGGGACUAUCCCUCUGUCAUGGUACUUCGUAGAAAAGAAGAAAGAGUCGGGCGAGUCCUGGAAUAUGUAAGCGAAGCUCUACGAAGAAGUCGCAGUGAAUUUUUAGACGCAGUUGAGUUUGUCUACGAGAUUUUAUUCCUCUCUUUCUACCUUUUUCUCUGCUUCUAUCCAGGGAAAAUGAUUUUCAAAAUUGCAAUGCGUCCAUUGAGGAUUACGUGCCCGUGCUUUAAAGUAAAGUAUUUUUCGCAAGAUUAUCGCGAAAUGGAUCAAUGAUUCGACCCAGAUAUAAAUCUGUGUAACACGUUAAUAAAGAUACAAGGAACGAGAGAAAUGAUUAAAGAUCGAGACGAAAGGAGAGUGAGGCCACCAUCGACGAGCAUGUUUACAAGUGGUUCUCAGCAAUUCACCUCAACGAGCAAAGAAGGAAAGAGAAAAGAAGUAUAAAAGCAAGUGAAGCGAAUUUCUAUACUGUUAUCGAAUCUUUGGAAAGAGAGUCAUAUUUAAAAAUAAUGGCUUCUUCUUUGCAGUGUUUUUAGUCCAGCAUCCAACUUACCGAUCGAAAGAACGAAGAAUGAUUCGUUUUGCAAGAACGAACAAUAGGAACAUAUAACUUGGAUAAGAACAUAUAUUCAU